GACGAACGCUGGCGGCGGGCUUAACACAUGCAAGUCGAACGGAAAGGCCCUGAUUUUGUGGGGUGCUCGAGUGGCGAACGGGUGAGUAACACGUGAGUAAACUGCCCUUGACUUUGGGAUAACUUCAGGAAACUGGGGUUAAUACCGGAAGGGUGCUCCUGCUGCAUGGUGGGGGUUGGAAAAUGUCGGCGGGUGGGGAUGGGGUGUCGGCUUGUCAGCUGGUUGGUGGGGUAGUGGCUUAUCAAGGGUUUGACGGGUAGGCGGCCGGAGAGGGUGACCGGCCACACUGGGAGGGACAGAGGGACGGGACUGCUGCGGUAGACAGGAGGGAGUAAUAUUGCUCGAAGGGCGGACGCAAGACGGAGCAAGCCAGCGCGCGUGAGGGCGGAAUUCGGGUUGUAUACCGCUUCUGCGUGUGAAGAGGAGAUUGUGACGUUAAUGGGUAAAGAAGCCCCGGCUAACUACGUG
rnacentral:rRNA from 1 species